AUGAUGAUGAUAAUAUUGAUGAUGCAAAUGCAAAUGAUUAUUAUUUAUGUUCAACCAAUAGCUGAUAACCUUUAAUUGAUUGUUAUCAUUAAAUCUUGGUACCAAUUGAAGUCGAAAUCAAUUGAAAAAGGAUUCUGGAUUCUUAUAUGCAACGGAUAAUCUGUUUUUAAACGUUAUACGAUAAAAUCAUUGGCCAUAUUAUUAAUUCGCAUCAUUGCUCAUCUUGAUCUGAAUCAAAAGAGGAUUACAUUGCCUUGAUUGUGGACAAAUAAUGUUUACUAAUGACCCUUAAAAAGUAAAAUUUUGCGAAUCAAAAAGAAGCCAAAAUUGAGAAAUCAAAUAAUCGAAUGAUUAUUAUAAUAAUAAAACGAAGGAUCAAAAACUGGUUGACCUUUAAUCGCAUCAUGAUCAUCUUAGAUUAUAAUUUGGACCUGUUAUUACUUAUUGAUGGUGCUAACCAUUUUGCAGUUCAUAAACUCGAGGUCAAACCUUUCUCGAUUUUUAUUGUUCUUGGAUGUGAUUAAUAUCAUCGCUGUUAUGUCAAACAUUUUGCAUAAAUAGCAGGUAUAAUUUGUUUGAUUUUUUUCAUCUACUCGAAGGCCGAUUUAUUUGGUGAGUGUUUACGAAAGCGUUGGCAUUGUUGGUCAUGAUUCGGAAUUGGUAUUAAAUAUUGCAAUAAUGAGAAACCAACUUUGGCUGGAACAAUUGAUUUCAUUUUAAAUCGACAAUCCUAUUGGUCUCAAAGAUUGUCCACUGAUCAUUGUUUUAUUGGUUAAGGAAAAGUAUAACUCGAGACAAUUAAUAUUCAAUUCACUUCGAAUGGAAGUCCAAGUAUUGGUUUACAAAUUACUCGACACCUGAUUCAUGUUUACAAGGUUGUGGUCAGAUGACUUUCAAAUUGUAUUGGAUGGCAUCGAUAAUCAUGUCCCCGGAUAACCCUGGAGUUACUGUAAUUUUAAUCUUGAUUUAUCCCGAUAAGUUUACUAUCAAUGAUUGAUUGUAAAUUAUCAGGGCAGCUCUUUAAUUGCCAGAAUUGUAACCUUUACCUAAAGUGUGAUCAAGACAGCAGUAUGUUGUUCUUGCCAUUAGAUUAAGUUACCAAAGGAGUGUCAAAAGUGUUAUUUUUGUUCAUCUCUAAUCCCUGAAUCCAUCAUGCAAAUUCUGUCGUGAUAUUAUCAGAUUUCAAUCAUCAUAAUGUUCAACUGGAAACCAGCAUUCUAAACGUUGAAUCAAAAAUAUAACUGACAGCCGCGGUCUCAUCUUUA